GACGAACGCUGGCGGCGUGCUUAACACAUGCAAGUCGAACGGAAAGGCCCUGCUUGCAGGGUACUCGAGUGGUGAACGGGUGAGUAACACGUGGGUGAUCUGCCCUGCACUUCGGGAUAAGCCUGGGAAACUGGGUCUAAUACCGGAUAGGAGCCAUUUUUAGUGUGAUGGUUGGAAAGUUUUUUCGGUGUAGGAUGAGCUCGCGGCCUAUCAGCUUGUUGGUGGGGUAAUGGCCUACCAAGGCGGCGACGGGUAGCCGGCCUGAGAGGGUGGACGGCCACAUUGGGACUGAGAUACGGCCCAGACUCCUACGGGAGGCAGCAGUGGGGAAUAUUGCACAAUGGGCGCAAGCCUGAUGCAGCGACGCCGCGUGGGGGAUGACGGCCUUCGGGUUGUAAACUCCUUUCGCUAGGGACGAAGCCUUUUGUGACGGUACCUAGAUAAGAAGCACCGGCUAACUACGUG
rnacentral:rRNA from 1 species